CACACACACAAAGACACACACACUCAGUGGAUGGAAAGAACAAGGCUGGGAUGGAAAGAUGAAAUAGACAGGAGCACUGGGAGCGGUUGGCGACUGUGGAGCGCCCACGUCAUAGGAAAGCCAUCAGAUAAAAUGAGGGACUCGUUCUCUCUAGAUAACACCCACUGCUUUGAUGAGGAGGAACCGCUGCUUCUUGAUAAGGCUGGUCGGUGGGUGGGGAGCGGUGCAGGGAAGGCAGAGGAGGAAACACACCUACGGCACAGGAAUUCCAACUGUGAUCAAGUGGUCGUAUCCUAAACCAGACAAGAUUGUAAAUCCUGAUCUGGCUGGACGAGAGACCGUAUGUUUGUAUGUGUCCUUCAUAAAGUCCUCUGAAUUAAACAGUCCAUGUUCUCUAACCUC